AUAUCAAUAAGCGGAGGAAAAGAAACCAACAGGGAUUGCCCUAGUAACGGCGAGUGAAGCGGCAACAGCUCAAAUUUGAAAUCUGGCUCUCGGGCCCGAGUUGUAAUUUGUAGAGGAUGCUUUUGGUGCGGUGCCUUCCGAGUUCCCUGGAACGGGACGCCAUAGAGGGUGAGAGCCCCGUCUGGUUGGACGCCAAUCCUCUGUAAAGCUCCUUCGACGAGUCGAGUAGUUUGGGAAUGCUGCUCUAAAUGGGAGGUAUAUGUCUUCUAAAGCUAAAUACCGGCCAGAGACCGAUAGCGCACAAGUAGAGUGAUCGAAAGAUGAAAAGAACUUUGAAAAGAGAGUUAAAAAGUACGUGAAAUUGUUGAAAGGGAAGCGCUUGUGACCAGACUUGGGCUUGGUUGAUCAUCCAGGGUUCUCCCUGGUGCACUCCUCCGGCCCAGGCCAGCAUCAGUUCGCCCCGGGGGACAAAGACGCCUGGAAUGUGGCUCUCUUCGGGGAGUGUUAUAGCCUGGCGUGCAAUACCCUGUGGCGGACUGAGGUUCGCGCAUUCGCAAGGAUGCUGGCGUAAUGGUCAUCAGUGACCCGUCUUGAAACACGGACCAAGGAGUCGUCUUCGUAUGCGAGUGUUCGGGUGUCAAACCCCUACGCGAAAUGAAAGUGAACGCAGGUGAGAGCUUCGGCGCAUCAUCGACCGAUCCUGAUGUCUUCGGAUGGAUUUGAGUAAGAGCAUACGGGGCCGGACCCGAAAGAAGGUGAACUAUGCCUGUGUAGGGUGAAGCCAGAGGAAACUCUGGUGGAGGCUCGCAGCGGUUCUGACGUGCAAAUCGAUCGUCAAACAUGGGCAUGGGGGCGAAAGACUAAUCGAACCUUCUAGUAGCUGGGUUUCCG
rnacentral:rRNA from 1 species